rnacentral:rRNA from 1 species
UUCGGAUUGUAGUCUGCAACCCGACUACAUGAAGCUGGAAUCGCUAGUAAUCGCAGGUCAGCAUACUGCGGUGAAUACGUUCCCGGGUCUUGUACACACCGCCCGUCACACCAUGGGAGCCGGAAAUGCCCGAAGCCGGUGACCAAACCAAUAAGGAAGGAGCCGUCGAAGGCGGGUCUGAUAACUGGGGUGAAGUCGUAACAAGGUAUC